UGCCGGAGAAUUGGAAAGUGGAAAUGCAGGAGAGCCAGCUAAAUUGAUUAGGCAAAGGUACAGAGAGGCAGCUGAAAUCAUCAGGAAAGGAAACAUGUGUUGUCUCUUCAUCAACGAUCUCGAUGCAGGAGCUGGUAGAAUGGGUGGAACUACCCAAUACACCGUCAACAACCAGAUGGUGAAUGCCACCCUCAUGAACAUUGCUGACAACCCAACAAAUGUCCAGCUCCCUGGUAUGUACAACAAGCAAGAGAACGCCAGGGUACCCAUUAUUGUCACUGGUAACGACUUCUCCACAUUGUAUGCUCCUCUUAUCCG
rnacentral:misc_RNA from 1 species